rnacentral:rRNA from 1 species
UACGAAGGGGGCUAGCGUUGUUCGGAAUCACUGGGCGUAAAGCGCACGUAGGCGGAUUUGUUAGUCAGGGGUGAAAUCCCGGGGCUCAACCUCGGAACUGCCUUUGAUACUGCAAGUCUCGAGUCCGGGAGAGGUGAGUGGAAUUCCUAGUGUAGAGGUGAAAUUCGUAGAUAUUAGGAAGAACACCAGUGGCGAAGGCGGCUCACUGGUCCGAUACUGACGCUGAGGUGCGAAAGCGUGGGGAGCAAACAGG